rfam:Gossypium raimondii chromosome 4, whole genome shotgun sequence.
AAUCCAUAGUGUAGGCAUCUUUGGAUCAACAUUUUAAAGUGUUCCCAAGCUUCGUGAAAACUUUCUCCUUCCAGUUGGUUAAAUGUUGCAAUCUCCCUCCUGGAUU